rnacentral:rRNA from 1 species
AUUGAACGCUGGCGGCAGGCCUAACACAUGCAAGUCGAACGGAGUGGCGAACGGGUGAGUAACGCGUAGGAACCUGCCUCAUAGCGGGGGAUAACUAUUGGAAACGAUAGCUAAUACCGCAUACUGUGAGAUGGACCUGCGUUGUAUUAGCUAGUUGGUGGGGUAACGGCUCACCAAGGCGACGAUCCGUAGCUGGUUUGAGAGGACGACCAGCCACACUGGGACUGAGACACGGCCCAGACUCCUACGGGAGGCAGCAGUGGGGAAUUUUGGACAAUGGGGGAAACCCUGAUCCAGCCAUCCCGCGUGUGCGAUGAAGGCCUUCGGGUUGUAAAGCACUUUUGGCAGGAAAGCGGUACCUGCAGAAUAAGCACCGGCUAACUACGUGCCAGCCGCCGCGGUAAUUC